AGUCGAGGGGCAGCAUGAUUGAGGCUUGCUUCAAUUGAUGGCGACCGGCGCACGGGUGAGUAACGCGUAUCCAACCUUCCGUACACUCAGGGAUAGCCUUUCGAAAGAAAGAUUAAUACCUGAUGGUAUGAUGAGAUUGCAUGAUAGCAUCAUUAAAGAUUUAUCGGUGUACGAUGGGGAUGCGUUCCAUUAGGUAGUAGGCGGGGUAACGGCCCACCUAGCCUACGAUGGAUAGGGGUUCUGAGAGGAAGGUCCCCCACAUUGGAACUGAGACACGGUCCAAACUCCUACGGGAGGCAGCAGUGAGGAAUAUUGGUCAAUGGACGAGAGUCUGAACCAGCCAAGUAGCGUGAAGGAUGAAGGUCUUACGGAUUGUAAACUUCUUUUAUAAGGGAAUAAAACCUCCCACGUGUGGGAGCUUGUAUGUACCUUAUGAAUAAGCAUCGGCUAACUCCGUGCCAGCAGCCGCGGUAAUACGGAGGAUGCGAGCGUUAUCCGGAUUUAUUGGGUUUAAAGGGAGCGCAGACGGGUCGUUAAGUCAGCUGUGAAAGUUUGGGGCUCAACCUUAAAAUUGCAGUUGAUACUGGCGUCCUUGAGUGCGGUUGAGGUGUGCGGAAUUCGUGGUGUAGCGGUGAAAUGCUUAGAUAUCACGAAGAACUCCGAUUGCGAAGGCAGCACACUAAGCCGUAACUGACGUUCAUGCUCGAAAGUGUGGGUAUCAAACAGGAUUAGAUACCCUGGUAGUCCACACGGUAAACGAUGGAUACUCGCUGUUGGCGAUAUACGGUCAGCGGCUCA
rnacentral:rRNA from 1 species